AGUGAACGCUGGCGGUAGGCCUAACACAUGCAAGUCGAACGGCAGCACAGUAAGAGUUUGCUUUUACGGGUGGCGAGUGGCGGACGGGUGAGGAAUACAUCGGAAUCUACUUUUUCGUGGGGGAUAACGUAGGGAAACUUACGCUAAUACCGCAUACGACCUACGGGUGAAAGCAGGGGAUCUUCGGACCUUGCGCGAUUGAUUGAGCCGAUGUCGGAUUAGCUAGUUGGCGGGGUAAAGGCCCACCAAGGCGACGAUCCGUAGCUGGUCUGAGAGGAUGAUCGGCCACACUGGAACUGAGACACGGUCCAGACUCCUACGGGAGGCAGCAGUGGGGAAUAUUGGACAAUGGGCGCAAGCCUGAUCCAGCCAUACCGCGUGGGUGAAGAAGGCCUUCGGGUUGUAAAGCCCUUUUGUUGGGAAAGAAAAGCAGCAGGUUAAUACCCCGCUGUUCUGACGGUACCCAAAGAAUAAGCACCGGCUAACUUCGUG
rnacentral:rRNA from 1 species